rnacentral:rRNA from 1 species
GAUGAACGCUGGCGGCGUGCCUAAUACAUGCAAGUCGAGCGAACAGAUGAGGAGCUUGCUCCUCUGACGUUAGCGGCGGACGGGUGAGUAACACGUGGAUAACCUACCUAUAAGACUGGGAUAACUUCGGGAAACCGGAGAUACUACCGGAUAAUAUAUUGAACCGCAUGGUUCAAUAGUGAAAGACGGUUUUGCUGUCACUUAUAGCUGGAUCCGCGCCGCAUUAGCUAGUUGGUAAGGUAACGGCUUACCAAGGCGACGAUGCGUAGCCGACCUGAGAGGGUGAUCGGCCACACUGGAACUGAGACACGGUCCAGACUCCUACGGGAGGCAGCAGUAGGGAAUCUUCCGCAAUGGGCGAAAGCCUGACGGAGCAACGCCGCGUGAGUGAUGAAGGUCUUCGGAUCGUAAAACUCUUUUAUUAGGGAAGAACAAAUGUGUAAGUAACUAUGCACGUCUUGACGGUACCUAAUCAGAAAGCCACGGCUAACUACGUG